rnacentral:rRNA from 1 species
UAGUUUUUGUCCUGGCUCAGGAUGAACGCCGGCGGUGUGCCUAAUACAUGCAAGUCGAGCGCAUUGGCCCAACUAGAUAUGACGUGCUUGCACUGAUUUGACGAUGGAUUACCAGUGAGCGGCGGACGGGUGAGUAACACGUGGGCAACCUGCCCUGGAGCGGGGGAUAACAUUUGGAAACAGAUGCUAAUACCGCAUAAUAAUCAAAACCACAUGGUUUUGAUUUCAAAGAUGGCUUCGGCUAUCACUCCAGGAUGGGCCCGCGGUGCAUUAGCUAGUUGGUAAGGUAACGGCUUACCAAGGCGAUGAUGCAUAGCCGAGUUGAGAGACUGAUCGGCCACAAUGGAACUGAGACACGGUCCAUACUCCUACGGGAGGCAGCAGUAGGGAAUCUUCCACAAUGGGCGCAAGCCUGAUGGAGCAACACCGCGUGAGUGAAGAAGGGUUUCGGCUCGUAAAACUCUGUUGUUGAAGAAGAACGUGCGUGAGAGUAACUGUUCAUGCAGUGACGGUAUUCAACCAGAAAGUCACGGCUAACUACGUGCCAGCA